CCUANGGGUGGCUGCAGUGGGGAAUUGUUCGCAAUGGGCGCAAGCCUGACGACGCAACGCCGCGUGGAGGAUGAAGAUUUUCGGAUCGUAAACUCCUGUCGAAUGGGACGAAUGGCUCGGCCGUGAAUAACGGUCGGGAAUGACGGUACCGGAAGAAGAAGCACCGGCUAACUACGUGCCAGCAGCCGCGGUAAUACGUAGGGUGCGAGCGUUAAUCGGAAUUACUGGGCGUAAAGCGUGCGCAGGCGGUUUUGUAAGACAGACGUGAAAUCCCCGGGCUUAACCUGGGAACUGCGUUUGUGACUGCAAGGCUAGAGUACGGCAGAGGGGGGUAGAAUUCCACGUGUAGCAGUGAAAUGCGUAGAUAUGUGGAGGAAUACCGAUGGCGAAGGCAGCCCCCUGGGUCGAUACUGACGCUCAUGCACGAAAGCGUGGGGAGCAAACAGGAUUAGAUACCCUANUANUC
rnacentral:rRNA from 1 species